rnacentral:rRNA from 1 species
UCUGGAAACUGUCUGACUNGAGUGCAGAAGGGGAGAGUGGAAUUCCAUGUGUAGCGGUGAAAUGCGUAGAUAUAUGGAGGAACACCAGUGGCGAAAGCGGCUCUCUGGUCUGUCACUGACGCUGAGGCUCGAAAGCGUGGGUAGCGAACAGGAUUAGAUACCCUGGUAGUCCACGCCGUAAACGAUGAGUGCUAGGUGUUAGGCCCUUUCCGGGGCUUAGUGCCGGAGCUAACGCAAUAAGCACUCCGCCUGGGGAGCACGACCGCAAGGUUGAAACUCAAAGGAAUUGACGGGGGCCCGCACAAGCGGUGGAGCAUGUGGUUUAAUUCGAAGCAACGCGAAGAACCUUACCAGGUCUUGACAUCCCGAUGCUAUUCUUAGAGAUAGGAAGUUACUUCGGUACAUCGGAGACAGGUGGUGCAUGGUUGUCGUCAGCUCGUGUCGUGAGAUGUUGGGUUAAGUCCCGCAACGAGCGCAACCCUUAUUGUUAGUUGCCAUCAUUAAGUUGGGCACUCUAGCGAGACUGCCGGUAAUAAACCGGAGGAAGGUGGGGAUGACGUCAAAUCAUCAUGCCCCUUAUGACCUGGGCUACACACGUGCUACAAUGGUCGGUACAACGAGUUGCGAGCCGGUGACGGCAAGCUAAUCUCUGAAAGCCGAUCUCAGUUCGGAUUGGAGGCUGCAACUCGCCUCCAUGAAGUCGGAAUCGCUAGUAAUCGCGGAUCAGCACGCCGCGGCGAAUACGUUCCCGGGCCUUGUACACACCGCCCGUCACACCACGAGAGUUUGUAACACCCGAAGUCGGUGAGGUAACCUUUUAGGGGCCAGCCGCCUAAGGUG